rnacentral:misc_RNA from 1 species
AUUUGUUUAUUACAAUUAAGAACUAACAAAAAGAUGAAUCAUGAAUGAAAUAAAAGUACAGUGCAAAUUAACCUUAUAAAUAAACAAUAUUCGUUUGGCAACAUUAUUGCACGACGUCGUCGACGUGUCAACUUCACAAUACGCGUUGCCGAGUUGAUCGCCAACUCGAUGGUAGUAGCGUUUAUUAUUUCUAUAAGAACUGUCUUCUAUUCUAUUAAGAACAACUUGCUUUACAAGUUGUAUCCAAAAUCUUUAUAAAAGUUUUUAUUAUUUAGCCUGAUAUAACACUGAAAUGCCAGCCGCACCAAGUUCGACGUCGGUGGGAUCAGGAGGUCGUUCGCCAAGCAAGGCGAGUGCUGCUCCUCGCUCCUCCAGUGGUGGCACUGUAAGGCAGCGUAAAACCACUACAACAACUACUGCGGCCAGAAAUCGUACUACGGGCGCUGGAUCAGGGGGAAUGUGGCGUUUUUACACUGAUGAUUCUCCUGGUGUCAAAGUAGGUCCAGUUCCUGUAUUGGUUAUGUCUCUGCUAUUCAUUGCCUCAGUAUUUAUGUUGCAUAUUUGGGGAAAAUACACGAGAGCAUAAAAAUAUUUUACAAUGAUUUUAUGUAAUAAGGUAUUAAUUAUAAUUCUAAAAUAAGAGAGUGCAAGGAUAUGAUAUAAAUGUGCUUUUAAUAUACAUGAAAGUGUCUAGUUUUAAAUUUGAAUAAUUUAUUUGUUUAUUUUGUUUACUGAAAUAAAUAUAAGUAGUUAAAGUAUUUGUCUUUAUUAUUUAUUGAAUCAUUACAAAACCUUAAUUAUAAUAUAUAAACAAAUUGACACUAACAAUUUAACUACAAGCUAACUCGUAUUUUAGAUUAGUUGGGUUUUUUUAUGCAAACUUGAUAAAAUGUGUUUUUAUAUGUACUAAAAAAUUAUGAAAUUGCAAUGAAUAAAUUAAAUAUACCAAACUUCAAAUAA